UACGAAGGGGGCUAGCGUUGCUCGGAAUCACUGGGCGUAAAGCGCACGUAGGCGGCUUCUUAAGUCCGGGGUGAAAUCCUGGAGCUCAACUCCAGAACUGCCUUUGAUACUGAGUAGCUUGAGUCCGGGAGAGGUGAGUGGAACUGCGAGUGUAGAGGUGAAAUUCGUAGAUAUUCGCAAGAACACCAGUGGCGAAGGCGGCUCACUGGCCCGGUACUGACGCUGAGGUGCGAAAGCGUGGGGAGCAAACAGG
rnacentral:rRNA from 1 species